rnacentral:rRNA from 1 species
UACGUAGGGUCCGAGCGUUAUCCGGAAUCAUUGGGCGUAAAGAGCUCGUAGGCGGUUCAGCAAGUCGGCUGUGAAAGUCCGGGGCUCAACCCCGGAAUUGCAGUCGAUACUGCUGUGACUCGAGUCCGGUAGAGGAGAACGGAAUUCCCGGUGUAGCGGUGAAAUGCGCAGAUAUCGGGAGGAACACCGAUGGCGAAGGCAGGUCUCUGGGCAUUAACUGACGCUGAGGAGCGAAAGCAUGGGGAGCGAACAGG